rnacentral:snRNA from 1 species
AGAUGUGAGGGCAAUCUGGCUGCAACAUCUGUCAUACCCAUUGAUGGCUGGGUUUGAUUUGGCUAUCUGGCUGGCUAGAUGAGUGCCUCUUUCUCCCUUACUACCCUAUCUGUAUCCCUCCCUAAGUUGCAUACUCUGUUGAGAGUAUAAGAUUAGCUGUUAUCCUCUUCUAGAAGCUCCAAACAUGCUCUCAAAGUCCACUCAAUUUAUUAUUCUCAACUUGCUUUCCAGGAAAGAUUGAAACCUUUUUUU